rnacentral:rRNA from 1 species
UACGUAGGGUGCAAGCGUUAAUCGGAAUUACUGGGCGUAAAGCGUGCGCAGGCGGUUUUGUAAGUCAGAUGUGAAAUCCCCGGGCUUAACCUGGGAACUGCGUUUGAAACUACAAGGCUAGAGUGUGGCAGAGGGGGGGUGGAAUUCCACGUGUAGCAGUGAAAUGCGUAGAGAUGUGGAGGAACACCGAUGGCGAAGGCAGCCCCCUGGGCUAACACUGACGCUCAGGCGCGAAAGCGUGGGGAGCGAACGG